rnacentral:rRNA from 1 species
GGGCCCGCACAAGCGGUGGAGCAUGUGGUUUAAUUCGAUGCAACGCGAAAAACCUUACCUACUCUUGACAUACUUGGGAGCUCUUGUAAUGAGAGUGUGCCUUUUGGAACCAAGAUACAGGUGCUGCAUGGCUGUCGUCAGCUCGUGUCGUGAGAUGUUCCGUUAAGUCGGAUAACGAGCGCAACCCUUACCCUUAUUUGCCAGCGAUUCGGUCGGGAACUAUAAGGGGACUGCCGGUGAUAAACCGGAGGAAGGUGAGGACGACGUCAAGUCAUCAUGGCCCUUACGAGUAGGCUACACACGUGCUACAAUGGGGAAUACAGACGGACGCUAAGCCGAUCUCAGUUCGG